rnacentral:rRNA from 1 species
UAGGGAAUCUUCCGCAAUGGACGCAAGUCUGACGGAGCAACGCCGCGUGAGUGAAGAAGGAUUUCGGUUCGUAAAACUCUGUUGUUAGAGAAGAACAGCGCAUAGAGUAACUGUUAUGCGUGUGACGGUAUCUAACCAGAAAGCCACGGCUAACUACGUGCCAGCAGCCGCGGUAAUACGUAGGUGGCAAGCGUUGUCCGGAUUUAUUGGGUGUAAAGCGAGCGCAGGCGGUCAAUUAAGUCUGAUGUGAAAGCCCCCGGCUCAACCGGGGAGGGUCAUUGGAAACUGGUUGACUUGAGUGCAGAAGAGGAGAGUGGAAUUCCAUGUGUAGCGGUGAAAUGCGUAGAUAUAUGGAGGAACACCGGUGGCGAAGGCGACUAUCUGGUCUGUAACUGACGAUGAGGCUCGAAAGCGUGGGUAGCAAACAGG